rnacentral:rRNA from 1 species
AGAGUUUGAUCCUGGCUCAGGACGAACGCUGGCGGCGCGCCUAACACAUGCAAGUCGAACGGAGCUUAGAGAGCUUGCUUUUUAAGCUUAGUGGCGAACGGGUGAGUAACGCGUGAGUAACCUGCCCUAGAGUGGGGGACAACAGUUGGAAACGACUGCUAAUACCGCAUAAGCCCACGGUACCGCAUGGUACUGAGGGAAAAGGAUUUAUUCGCUUUAGGAUGGACUCGCGUCCAAUUAGCUAGUUGGUGAGGUAACGGCCCACCAAGGCGACGAUUGGUAGCCGGACUGAGAGGUUGAACGGCCACAUUGGGACUGAGACACGGCCCAGACUCCUACGGGAGGCAGCAGUGGGGGAUAUUGCACAAUGGGGGAAACCCUGAUGCAGCGACGCCGCGUGGAGGAAGAAGGUUUUCGGAUUGUAAACUCCUGUCGUUAGGGACGAUAAUGACGGUACCUAACAAGAAAGCACCGGCUAACUACGUGCCAGCAGCCGCGGUAAAACGUAGGGUGCAAGCGUUGUCCGGAAUUACUGGGUGUAAAGGGAGCGCAGGCGGACCGGCAAGUUGGAAGUGAAAACUAUGGGCUCAACCCAUAAAUUGCUUUCAAAACUGCUGGCCUUGAGUAGUGCAGAGGUAGGUGGAAUUCCCGGUGUAGCGGUGGAAUGCGUAGAUAUCGGGAGGAACACCAGUGGCGAAGGCGACCUACUGGGCACCAACUGACGCUGAGGCUCGAAAGCAUGGGUAGCAAACAGGAUUAGAUACCCUGGUAGUCCAUGCCGUAAACGAUGAUUACUAGGUGUUGGAGGAUUGACCCCUUCAGUGCCGCAGUUAACACAAUAAGUAAUCCACCUGGGGAGUACGACCGCAAGGUUGAAACUCAAAGGAAUUGACGGGGGCC